GGUGAGUAACACGUGGGUAACCUGCCUGUAAGACUGGGAUAACUCCGGGAAACCGGGGCUAAUACCGGAUGGUUGUUUGAACCGCAUGGUUCAAACAUAAAAGGUGGCUUCGGCUACCACUUACAGAUGGACCCGCGGCGCAUUAGCUAGUUGGUGAGGUAACGGCUCACCAAGGCAACGAUGCGUAGCCGACCUGAGAGGGUGAUCGGCCACACUGGGACUGAGACACGGCCCAGACUCCUACGGGAGGCAGCAGUAGGGAAUCUUCCGCAAUGGACGAAAGUCUGACGGAGCAACGCCGCGUGAGUGAUGAAGGUUUUCGGAUUGUAAAGCUCUGUUGUUAGGGAAGAACAAGUACCGUUCGAAUAGGGCGGUACCUUGACGGUACCUAACCAGAAAGCCACGGCUAACUACGUGCCAGCAGCCGCGGUAAUACGUAGGUGGCAAGCGUUGUCCGGAAUUAUUGGGCGUAAAGGGCUCGCAGGCGGUUUCUUAAGUCUGAUGUGAAAGCCCCCGGCUCAACCGGGGAGGGUCAUUGGAAACUGGGGAACUUGAGUGCANAAGANGAGAGUGGAAUUCCACGUGUAGCGGUGAAAUGCGUANAGAUGUGGAGGAACACCAGUGACGAAGGCGACUCUCUGGUCUGUAACUGACGCUGANGAGCGAAAGCGUGGGGAGCGAACAGGAUUANAUACCCUGGUAGUCCACGCC
rnacentral:rRNA from 1 species